ACCGUCUGGUGUAAUGGGAACGAUCAACACUCUCAACCGCCGGUUCGGUCAUCGUCUUUCUCGGCCAAGGUUCUUCGACGCCGACGGCCGGAGGUGGCGUACACUCAACGCAACCUACAAUUUGGCUAUAAAAGGGGAGGUUGAUGGUCUCUUGAGGCUGAUCCCAGAGGAGAUGAAGGCCAGUGGCCGGAGGUCUGGUGGUUAG
rnacentral:misc_RNA from 1 species